ACGGAAGGCAGCAGUGGGGAAUAUUGGGCAAUGGGCGCAAGCCUGACCCAGCAACGCCGCGUGAAGGAAGAAGGUCCUCGGAUUGUAAACUUCUUUUAUCAGGGACGAAGAAAGUGACGGUACCUGAUGAAUAAGCCACGGCUAACUACGUGCCAGCAGCCGCGGUAAUACGUAGGUGGCGAGCGUUAUCCGGAUUUACUGGGUGUAAAGGGCGCGUAGGCGGGGAUGCAAGUCAGAUGUGAAAUCCAUGGGCUUAACUCAUGAACUGCAUUGGAAACUGUAUCUCUUGAGUGUCGGAGAGGUAGAUGGAAUUCCUGGUGUAGCGGUGAAAUGCGUAGAUAUUAGGAGGAACACCAGUGGCGAAGGCGAGCUACUGGAGGAUAACUGACGCUGAGGCGCGAAAGCGUGGGGAGCAAACAGGAUUAGAUACCCUGGUA
rnacentral:rRNA from 1 species